rnacentral:rRNA from 1 species
UUUUGUAUAAUGGGUCAGCGACUUAUAUUCAGUGGCAAGGUUAACCAUCUAGGGGAGCCGUAGGGAAACCGAGUCUUAACUGGGCGUUCAGUCUCUGGAUAUAGACCCGAAACCAGGUGAUCUAGCCAUGGGCAGGUUGAAGGUUGAGUAACAUCAACUGGAGGACCGAACCGACUAAUGUUGAAAAAUUAGCGGAUGACUUGUGGCUAGGGGUGAAAGGCCAAUCAAACCUGGAGAUAGCUGGUUCUCCCCGAAAGCUAUUUAGGUAGCGCCUCGGACGAAUACUACUGGGGGUAGAGCACUGUUAAGGCUAGGGGGUCAUCCCGACUUACCAACCCUUUGCAAACUCCGAAUACCAGUAAGUACUAUCCGGGAGACACACGGCGGGUGCUAACGUCCGUCGUGGAGAGGGAAACAACCCAGACCGCCAGCUAAGGUCCCAAAUUACUACUAAGUGGGAAACGAUGUGGGAAGGCUCAGACAGCCAGGAUGUUGGCUUAGAAGCAGCCAUCAUUUAAAGAAAGCGUAAUAGCUCACUGGUCGAGUCGGCCUGCGCGGAAGAUGUAACGGGGCUAAGUAGUAAACCGAAGCUGCGGCAAUAUACUUUUGUAUAUUGGGUAGGGGAGCGUUCUGUAAGCGGUUGAAGGUGUGUGGUAACGCAUGCUGGACGUAUCAGAAGUGCGAAUGCUGACAUGAGUAACGAUAAAGGGGGUGAAAAACCUCCUCGCCGGAAGACCAAGGGUUCCUGUCCAACGUUAAUCGGGGCAGGGUAAGUCGACCCCUAAGGCGAGGCCGAAAGGCGUAGUCGAUGGGAAACGGGUUAAUAUUCCCGUACUUCUUACAAUUGCGAUGGGGGGACGGAGAAGGCUAGGUGGGCCUGGCGACGGUUGUCCAGGUUCAAGUGCGUAGGCUUAAGAGUUAGGUAAAUCCGGCUCUUUUUAAGGCUGAGACACGACGUCGAGCACCUACGGGUGUGAAGUCAUUGAUGCCAUGCUUCCAGGAAAAGCCUCUAAGCUUCAGAUUGUAAGGAAUCGUACCCCAAACCGACACAGGUGGUCGGGUAGAGAAUACCAAGGCGCUUGAGAGAACUCGGGUGAAGGAACUAGGCAAAAUGGUACCGUAACUUCGGGAGAAGGUACGCUCUCGACGGUGAAGUCCCUUGCGGAUGGAGCUAUUGAGAGUCGCAGAUACCAGGUGGCUGCAACUGUUUAUUAAAAACACAGCACUGUGCAAAAUCGUAAGAUGACGUAUACGGUGUGACGCCUGCCCGGUGCCGGAAGGUUAAUUGAUGGGGUUAGACUUCGGUCGAAGCUCUUGAUCGAAGCCCCGGUAAACGGCGGCCGUAACUAUAACGGUCCUAAGGUAGCGAAAUUCCUUGUCGGGUAAGUUCCGACCUGCACGAAUGGCGUAAUGAUGGCCACGCUGUCUCCACCCGAGACUCAGUGAAAUUGAAAUCGCUGUGAAGAUGCAGUGUACCCGCGGCUAGACGGAAAGACCCCGUGAACCUUUACUACAGCUUGGCACUGAACAUUGACCCUACAUGUGUAGGAUAGGUGGGAGGCUUUGAAGCACGUACGCCAGUAUGUGUGGAGCCGUCCUUGAAAUACCACCCUUGUAGUGUUGAUGUUCUAACGUCGACCCCUAAUCGGGGUUGCGGACAGUGCCUGGUGGGUAGUUUGACUGGGGCGGUCUCCUCCCAAAGAGUAACGGAGGAGCACGAAGGUGGGCUAAUCACGGUUGGACAUCGUGAGGUUAGUGCAAUGGCAUAAGCCCGCUUGACUGCGAGAAUGACAAUUCGAGCAGGUGCGAAAGCAGGUCAUAGUGAUCCGGUGGUUCUGAAUGGAAGGGCCAUCGCUCAACGGAUAAAAGGUACUCCGGGGAUAACAGGCUGAUACCGCCCAAGAGUUCAUAUCGACGGCGGUGUUUGGCACCUCGAUGUCGGCUCAUCACAUCCUGGGGCUGAAGUCGGUCCCAAGGGUAUGGCUGUUCGCCAUUUAAAGUGGUACGCGAGCUGGGUUUAGAACGUCGUGAGACAGUUCGGUCCCUAUCUGCCGUGGGCGUUGGAAGAUUGAAGGGGGCUGCUCCUAGUACGAGAGGACCGGAGUGGACGAACCUCUGGUGUUCGGGUUGUGUCGCCAGACGCAUUGCCCGGUAGCUAAGUUCGGAAUCGAUAACCGCUGAAAGCAUCUAAGCGGGAAGCGAGCCCUGAGAUGAGUCUUCCCUGAUACUUUAAGUAUCCUAAAGGGUUGUCGGAGACUACGACGUUGAUAGGUCAGGUGUGUAAGUGCUGUGAGGCAUUGAGCUAACUGAUACUAAUUGCCCGUGAGGCUUAACCAU